rnacentral:tRNA from 1 species
GCCUGUGUAGCUCAGUUGGCUAGAGCAGCUGAUUUGUAAUCAGCAGGUCGUGGGUUCGAGUCCCUCCAUAGGCUCAA